AAAUUGAAGAGUUUGAUCAUGGCUCAGAUUGAACGCUGGCGGCAGGCCUAACACAUGCAAGUCGAGCGGAAACGAGUUAUCUGAACCUUCGGGGAACGAUAACGGCGUCGAGCGGCGGACGGGUGAGUAAUGCCUAGGAAAUUGCCCUGAUGUGGGGGAUAACCAUUGGAAACGAUGGCUAAUACCGCAUGAUGCCUACGGGCCAAAGAGGGGGACCUUCGGGCCUCUCGCGUCAGGAUAUGCCUAGGUGGGAUUAGCUAGUUGGUGAGGUAAGGGCUCACCAAGGCGACGAUCCCUAGCUGGUCUGAGAGGAUGAUCAGCCACACUGGAACUGAGACACGGUCCAGACUCCUACGGGAGGCAGCAGUGGGGAAUAUUGCACAAUGGGCGCAAGCCUGAUGCAGCCAUGCCGCGUGUAUGAAGAAGGCCUUCGGGUUGUAAAGUACUUUCAGUCGUGAGGAAGGCGGCGUCGUUAAUAGCGGCGUUGUUUGACGUUAGCGACAGAAGAAGCACCGGCUAACUCCGUGCCAGCAGCCGCGGUAAUACGGAGGGUGCGAGCGUUAAUCGGAAU
rnacentral:rRNA from 1 species